GUAGUUAGCCGGGGCUUCCUCCUUGGCUACCGUCACUUUCUUCGUCACCAAGGACAGAGGUUUACAACCCGAAGGCCUUCUUCCCUCACGCGGCGUUGCUGGGUCAGGCUUUCGCCCAUUGCCCAAUAUUCCCCACUGCUGCCUCCCGUAGGAGUCUGGACCGUGUCUCAGUUCCAGUGUGGCCGAUCAGCCUCUCAGCUCGGCUACCCAUCGUUGACUAGGUGGGCCGUUACCCCGCCUACUAUCUAAUGGGACGCGAGCCCCUCCCUCUGCGGAUUGCUCCUUUCAUACACUUAUUCAUGCGAAUUAUGUACAAUAUGCGGUAUUAGCGUCCGUUUCCGGAAGUUAUCCCCCACUGAUAGGCAGGUUGCUCACGCAUUACUCACCCGUCCGCCACUAGGUUAACGAAGCAAGCUCCUUAACCCCGUUCGACUUGCAUGUGUUAGGCACGCCGCCAGCGUUCGUCCUAAGCCAGGAUCAAACUCUGA
rnacentral:rRNA from 1 species